GAGCCGGACGCAGGCGUGCCUGCGCAGUGCGCGGAGGAGUGCUGUUCGUGUGUUCGAGUCCCUGGGUUGCUUCCUGGGGUCUGUGGUGCUGGGUGUGCUAUCUGCGUGUGAUUCUCUAGCGAGAGAUUGUGGGCGAGUGACCGAGUGGGCAAGGGGCCGUCACUGUGUGUGCGUGAUUUUGACAGUGUGUGGUGGUAGCUUCUGACUCCGCGUGGGUCGUUGAAUGUAUGACUGGGACCGUUUAGCGGUGGAUACACAACUGUGUGCGGCUGUGGAAGAUUGCCUCAUCCGUUACGUUCCCAUUUCCGUGGAACAACAGUUUUACCAGAAGGUUUCGAAGGAACCUUAAAGUUUGGAAGCGUAAGAGUUUAUCUGGUAACUAAUUUUAAACAUUACAUCUAUGGUGAGUUAAAUGUGGGUUAUGAAGGAGAACGCAAAAUAAAAACGUUAUAAAGAUGUAAAGGAGUUUUAUGGGGCGGCAUCUCUUGGGCAAAUAUCAGACCGCCGUAGGUAGUUGUUAAUUCUCUCUUGUUUUUAGGCGGCUUUGGUGUCAUCAAAUGUGAGAAGCCCUGGACUUUACACAUCCCGAGCCAGUGUGAUCCAGUAUGAUUGGGAGUCCGAGUGCCAGAUGCCGGUCAGGACCUGUUAUGCUGGGUCUCAGAAUGCGGAAACUCUCCCUGUCCGAGGUGGAACAGUUUGUCCUUGAGUGAGGACUGGAGUCCUGAGUGACUCUUUUGAUUUGAUCCUGUUUCCCUCAAACCUGGUGAGCUCUAUGGUGUAAUAAAUGGUUAAGAGUGUGAACCCUUAACCAUCUCUAAGACUGGAGCCAGAAUGCCUGAACUCCAGUCUUAGAGAUGUGCCUCGGUCUCCACAUUUGAAAGUGAGGAUGAUUGUGGCAUCUAAUUCAUUGAGUUGUUGGGGAGGAGUAACUGAUAUGUAAAAUAAUGCUACUGCUGCUGGAUAAGGAUGCUAAUAUGACUGAAGCUAAUGCUUUCUUUCUGCAAAGAUGCUUUUUCCAAAACACACCAUAUUGCCUCUUUACACAUUCUUCAGGAGAGGGUAGAGGCUGCAUUUUCCUUGUAGGUGCGGUGAUGUGGUGGAAAGCACACUUUUAGAAUUAGACAGAUGUGGAUUCAAAUAGCAUUUCAGCCAUUUAUUAGUUUCUUCGUGCCUAUCUCGGUUUUGUUUUGUUUUUUUUUUUUUGUCCAUAAAAGGAAGAAUGUAAUGCUGGGCUUGCAGCUUUGUCCUGAGGGUCAAAUAAAAUGAUUUAAUAAUAUAAGCAAAGCUCAGAGGUUGGUUAUUGCUGAUUACUGAUAUUAAAAGACAACUUCAGCAAGGAUGGUUGAAUUUCACACUUGUGAGCGGACAGUUGAGGAGACAGUUGUAGAUUUAUCCUACUUGACCUUAUUUGUGGUUCAAGACAGUGUUGCGAGUUCAAGAGGAGAGGGUAGAUGCAAAAAGUCAUCAUCUUUCCUAUGUUCUCUGAUCUUGGGAAGGGGCGAGUGGCUCUAGUUUCCCUUUAACAUCCCACUGUGUUGAGUGUGUCUAUAUGUACAUGCGUCAGUAUUUGCUUAUGGAGGAAAGGAAGGAAAAAGACCAAACAGGUACAAAGCCAGCCAUCUCUCAGGCUAACUUUCUUCUAUACCAUUUUUACUUUCUCACAUUCAUUAAUCUGCCAAAGAGAAAUUUAGAGGAUGAUGAAAUGGCCACUUCUGACUCUGAACCAAGCCUCUGAAGUCAUACACCAUUAUACUCUUGGUCACAAAAUCAGCUGUGAGUCUAAGUAGGUGGAGGCUACACAAGAGUAUAAGUACUAGGAGGCAGGGAUCAUUCAGGGUCGUCUUAGAGGGUGGCUUCCAGUUUCUUCCUUUUAAGAGUAUGAGAAUGCUCUGAGCUAGCCUCUCCAUUCCAUGGAAUCCAUAGGUCUUUUGUCAGCCACUUCCCAGUACACAUUCCUGUGCCAAAGCACAUGCAGAGUUUGUAGGGUCCAGCCCCACAGGGUCGGUUGGUUUCUCCCCGUGUGCGGAGACGAGAGAUUGUAGAAAUAAAGACGCAAGACAGAGAUAAAAGAAAAGACAGCUGGGCCCAGGGGACCACUACCACCAAGACGCGGAGACUGGUAGUGGCCCCGAAUGCCAGGCUGCGCUGAUAUUUAUUGGAUACAAGACAAAGGGGCAGGAUAAGGAGUGUGAGCCAUCUCCAAUGAUAGGUAAGGCCACAUGGGUCACAUGUCCACUGGACAGGGGGCCCUUUCCUGCCUGGCAGCCGAGGCAGAGAGAGAGAGGAGAAAGAGAGAGAGAGCUUACACCAUUAUUUCUACUUAUUAGAGACUUAGUACUUUCACUGGUUUGCUACUGCUAACUAAACGGCAGAGCCAGGUGUACAGGAUGGAACAUGAAGGUGGACUAGGAGCGUGACCACUGAAGCACAGCAUCACAGGGAGACGGUUAGGCCUCCGGAUAACUGCAGGUGGGCCUGAGGCCCUCCACAAGUGGUGGAGGAGUAGAGUCUUCUCUAAACUCCCCCGGGGAAAGGGAGACUCCCUUUCCCGGUCCGCUACGUAGCAGGUGUUUUUCCUUGACACUAACACUACUGCUAGACCACGGUCCGCUUGGCAACGGGCAUCUUCCCAGAUGCUGGCAUCACCGCUAGACCAAGGAGCCCUCUGGUGGCCCUGUCUGGGCAUAACAGAAGGCUCGCACUCUUGUCUUCUGGUCACUUCUCACUAUGUCUCCUCAGCUCCUAUCUCUAUAUGGCCUGGCUUUUCCCAGGUUAUGAUUAUAGAGUGAGGAUUAUUAUAAUUUGGAAUAAAGAGUAAUUGCUACCAACUAAUGAUUAAUGAUAUUCAUAUAUAAUCAUAUCUAAGAUCUAUAUCUGGUAUAACUAUUCUUGUUUUAUAUUUUAUUAUACUGGAACAGCUCGUGUCCUCGGUCUCUUGCCUUGGCACCUGGGUGGCUUGCCGCCCACAGAGUUACUCCAGCAGCUCCCUCUCCUGUUAUCCCCAGCCAUAUCCGUGCUUCUGCCAGAUUCCUUCUGUUUCAGGAUCACCCAUUAUCACUUGAAUGAGAUCAACUGUGGGGAGGUGGGCCAUAUUCUGUUGUGCAUAGUAAUCCAAGCAAGGAAUCACACAACAAAGUGGGUUCUAACCCAAUCUUAGCUACUUACUCCCUGAGUGACCUUGGGCACCUCCCCCAAUUUUUCUGACCUAAAAUCUGUGCAUUAUAAUAAUAAUAAAUUUCCACGGAGGAAGUAUAACCUUUUCAACAAACAGUGCUGGAGCAACUGGACAUCCAUAGCCAAAAAAGAAAAAGGAUAAAAGGCUUUUCUGCAGUACUAAUCCAGGAGAAAAAUAAAUGUAUUGCAUCUUCCUUGUGACAACUGAGGACAAAAUACAUGUGGCCUCUCUCUGAGGACUUUUUUUUUUAAGAGACAAGGUCUCACUCUGUCACCCAAGCUGGUGUGCAGUGGUGUUCCUGGACUGAACUGAAGGUCAGGCUGCUUAUUCUCGCAGCCCUAUAACAAGAUGCUGAUGAACUGUGAAAGAAGAGAGUUUUAUUUCUGUAACCGGGUACAGGGAGAGGGCCAGAAAAAUAUUGCCAGACCAACUCAAAAUUACAAAGUUUUCCAGUGCUUAUCUACCUUCUAAGCUAUAUGUCUACAUGUUAGUGUGCAUUCAUCUAAAGACACAAGUGAUUAAUUUCUUCUAAUCUAUAACUAAGGUCUGAGUUAUAGACCUUGGGGACAUUCCUCUGGAGCCUCAGUGAUUUUACUUACUCUAGAUGGGUCCAAGUGCCAAAGGUAAUUACCUUAUCUUGUCUCCUACUAAGUUAUGGAGGUCUGGAGAGUUCCUUUAGACCCCCAAUAAAACUUGUUUAAUCCUAAAUGGAUCCUGGUAUGAGGAGUGUGACCAUUCCUUCAUUAUUUUGUCAUGCUUCAAAUCAUCAGCCUUUGUGUUAGGGCGCUGGCUCUCUCAGCCUUUAAUAUUUAACCUAACCAUUUAGUCAAUGCUAGAACAGUUCUUAUGGAGGCCUGCCUGUUCAGUUUUUGUGAGAUCUGGCUUGCCACAGUGGCACAAACGGCUUACUGCAGCCUCAACUUCCUGGGCUUAAGCGAUCCUCCUACCUCAGCCUCCCAAGUAGCUGAGAACACAGGUGCGUACCACCACACCAGCUAAUUUUUCUUUUCUUUUUUUUUUUCUGUAGAGAUGGGAGCCUCACUGUAUUGCCCAGGCUGGUCUUGAACUCCGGAGCUCAAGUGAUCGUCUUGCUUCAGCCUUGCAAAAUGAUGGUGAAGCUGCAUCAUUGUCUGGGGUAAAUACCUGAGGUUCGUUGUCUCACGCCAAGGGAAUCAAGGACGUGGACACACAAGAAGUGAGUUUAAGAGCGGAGGUUUAAUAGGCGAAAGAGAAAAGAGAAUAGCUCUAGCUCCUGCAGAGAGAAAAGGGCUCCCAAGUAGGACUUCCAGUCCGUGGCGAAGGGCACGGGGUUUAUAGACUGGCUUCAGGAGGUGGUGUCUGAUUUACGUAGGCCCCAAAGAUUGGUUGGACCAGGUGUGCCAAUCAGAAGCUGGCUGCCCCACCCUAAUCUUUUAUUAUGCAGAUGGAGUCCCUGUCUGACCGGGCCAUGUUGUAUGUUCCUUGCUGUACACGUGGUUGACAAAGAAAAGGGAAGAUGGAGCUGCGAUGUUGGACAUGCCUGGCCCCCAGGUAGCUUUUUC
rnacentral:lncRNA from 1 species